rnacentral:rRNA from 1 species
CUUGGUCAUUUAGAGGAAGUAAAAGUCGUAACAAGGUUUCCGUAGGUGAACCUGCGGAAGGAUCAUUCAUAAUAAGUGUUUUAUGGCACUUUUUUAAAUCCAUAUCCACCUUGUGUGCAAUGUCAGGGUUGGUCUCUUGAAAAAGAGAUCAGCCCCAAACAUCAACCCAAUCUUAACUCUUUGUCUGAAAAAUAUUAUGAAUAAAACAAUUCAAAAUACAACUUUCAACAACGGAUCUCUUGGCUCUCGCAUCGAUGAAGAACGCAGCGAAAUGCGAUACGUAAUGUGAAUUGCAGAAUUCAGUGAAUCAUCGAAUCUUUGAACGCAUAUUGCGCUCUUUGGUAUUCCGAAGAGCAUGCUUGUUUGAGUAUCAGUAAACACCUCAAAGCCUUUUUUUGUUAAGAGGCCUUGGACUUGAGCAAUCCCAACACUUUUCCUCCAAGAAAAGUGGCGGGUUGCUUGAAAUGCAGGUGCAGCUGGACAUUCUCCUGAGCUAAAAGCAUAUUCAUUUAGUCCCGUCAAACGGAUUAUUACUUUUGCUGCAGCUAACAUAAAGGGAGUUUGACCAUUUUGGCUGACUGAUGCAGGAUUUUCACAAGAGUCUUCAAAAGCUUUUGUUAAACUCGAUCUCAAAUCAAGUAAGACUACCCGCUGAACUUAAGCAUAUCAAUAAGCGGAGGA